AUGGCUGCUCAACAAAAUAAGCAGGAGCAGCCGGUGCAGCCGAGCGUCCGCCUUAGGCUUCAGCAGGACAUGGCGUUCAACGGUGGAUGCAGGUGGCCUAUGCCAAGCUGGUGCGGGCGGGCUGCUGUCGUUCAUCUAUCCCACGCUGCAGCUGCUGCGGCACGGCGUCCGGCUAUUCGGCGACCAGGACCUGCAGAGCAAGGUUGGCCUGCUCAUCGACUAUGCUGGGGAUCAGGAUCUAAUCUCUCCCAUGGCGGUCGGCGGCGCUCUGGCCGUGGAGGCCUGCUCCUCAUGCUCCUCCUCUGGAUCUAA
rnacentral:rRNA from 1 species